AGCAGCGUGGCUCAGUGGAAAGAGCUUGGGAGUCAGAGGUCACGGGUUCGAAUCCCGGCUCUGCCA
rnacentral:tRNA from 1 species